rnacentral:rRNA from 1 species
GACGAACGCUGGCGGCGUGCUUAACACAUGCAAGUCGAACGGUAAGGCCCUUCGGGGUACACGAGUGGCGAACGGGUGAGUAACACGUGGGUGAUCUGCCCUGCACUUCGGGAUAAGCCUGGGAAACUGGCUCUAAUACCGGAUAGGACCACUGCCUGCAUGGGUGGUGGUGGAAAGCUUUUGCGGUGUGGGAUGGGCCCGCGGCCUAGCAGCUUGUUGGUGGGGUGAUGGCCUACCAAGGCGACGACGGGUAGCCGGCCUGAGAGGGUGACCGGCCAACCUGGGACAAAGAUACGGCCCAGACUCCUACGGGAGGCAGCAGGGGGGCAUAUUGCACAAUGGGCGCAAGCCUAAUGCAGCGACGCCGCGUGAGGGAUGACUGCCUUCGGGUUGUAAACCUCUUUCAGCACCGACGAGGCGCAAGUGACGGUAGGUGCAGAAGAAGGACCGGCCAACUACGUGCCAGCAGCCGCGGUAA